CACGUAGGGACCAAGCGUUGUCCGGAUUCAUUGGGCGUAAAGAGCUCGUAGGCGGUUCGAUAAGUCGGGUGUGAAACCUCCAGGCUCAACCUGGAGACGCCACCCGAUACUGUCGUGACUAGAGUCCAGUAGGGGAGCGUGGAAUUCCUGGUGUAGCGGUGAAAUGCGCAGAUAUCAGGAGGAACACCAGCGGCGAAGGCGGCGCUCUGGGCUGGAACUGACGCUGAGGAGCGAAAGCUAGGGGAGCGAACGGG
rnacentral:rRNA from 1 species